UUGCGGUCAUAUCCCGUUAAAACACCGUUUCUCGUACGAGUAACGAAGUUAAGCAACGUCGAGCCUGGUCAGUACCUACAUGAGUGAUCACUUAGGAAUACCAAGUGCU